rnacentral:rRNA from 1 species
AACGAACGCUGGCGGCGUGCUUAACACAUGCAAGUCGAACGGAUCAAGGGGCUUGCUCCUUGAUUAGUGGCGCACGGGUGAGUAACGCGUGGAUAAUCUGCCCGACGAUCUGGGAUAACAUCUCGAAAGGGGUGCUAAUACCGGAUAAGCCCACGGGGUCUUCGGAUCUUGCGGGAAAAGAGGGGGACCUUCGGGCCUCUUGUCGUCGGAUGAGUCCGCGUACCAUUAGCUAGUUGGCGGGGUAAAGGCCCACCAAGGCUACGAUGGUUAGCUGGUCUGAGAGGAUGAUCAGCCACACUGGAACUGAGACACGGUCCAGACUCCUACGGGAGGCAGCAGUGGGGAAUUUUGCGCAAUGGGGGAAACCCUGACGCAGCAACGCCGCGUGAGUGAUGAAGGCCUUCGGGUCGUAAAGCUCUGUCUAGAGGAAAGAAGUGUGGGGUGGCUAAUAUCCACUUCACUUGACGGUACCUCUGAAGGAAGCACCGGCUAACUCCGUGCCAGCAGCCGCGGUAAUACGGAGGGUGCGAGCGUUGUUCGGGUUUAUUGGGCGUAAAGCGCGUGUAGGCGGUUUCUUAAGUCUGAUGUGAAAGUCCCGGGCUCAACCUGGGAAGUGCAUUGGAUACUGGGAGACUUGAAUACGGGAGAGGGUAGUGGAAUUCCUAGUGUAGGAGUGAAAUCCGUAGAUAUUAGGAGGAACACCGGUGGCGAAGGUGGCUACCUGGACCGAUAUUGACGCUGAGACGCGAAAGCGUGGGUAGUAAACAGGAUUAGAUACCCUGGUAGUCCACGCCGUAAACGAUGAGAACUAGGUGUUGCGGGUAUUGACCCCUGCAGUGCCGCAGCUAACGCAUUAAGUUCUCCGCCUGGGAAGUAUGGUCGCAAGACUA